rnacentral:rRNA from 1 species
GAUGAACGCUAGCUACAGGCUUAACACAUGCAAGUCGAGGGGAAACGACAUCGAAAGCUUGCUUUUGAUGGGCGUCGACCGGCGCACGGGUGAGCAACGCGUAUCCAACCUGCCCAUCACUUGGGGAUAACCUUGCGAUAGUAAGACUAAUACCCAAUGACGUCUCUAGAAGACAUCUGAAAGAGAUUAAAGAUUUAUCGGUGAUGGAUGGGGAUGCGUCUGAUUAGCUUGUUGGCGGGGUAACGGCCCACCAAGGCGACGAUCAGUAGGGGUUCUGAGAGGAAGGUCCCCCACAUUGGAACUGAGACACGGUCCAAACUCCUACGGGAGGCAGCAGUGAGGAAUAUUGGUCAAUGGACGAGAGUCUGAACCAGCCAAGUAGCGUGCAGGAUGACGGCCCUAUGGGUUGUAAACUGCUUUUAUAAGGGAAUAAAGUGAGAGUCGUGUCUCUUUUUGCAUGUACCUUAUGAAUAAGGACCGGCUAAUUCCGUGCCAGCAGCCGCCGUAA